AAUACAAAACUGUCUUCAUGUGAGAGUUUACAUUUUCAAUUUGGAAAGAGAAGACAUCCACAGUUAAUUUCAUUCACAUAUUAUUGGCUUGGGCUGGUUAGCUGCAAGGCUUUUUUCUGUUUGAGGAUUAUAAGUGUGAGUGUCUUUAGGGAACACCCUGAUACUCAUUCCUUUGGCUUAUACAGCAUACGCUGUCAUCUUCAAAGUGCUUUCAUACACUUCAUCUCAUUAAAACCUCAGAAGAUCCAGAAUCUUGGCACAGCAAUGAAAAUUUCCCAGCAUCCUCCUUCAUUUCUACUAAGCACUGACUGUUGGAGUGCUUUUGAUGAAGUCCAUUAUCAUUUUGGCAGUUCAACAAAGACUUCCAGGAGAGAAGCGGACAGCAGGGUUUGGAACAAACACAUCCUUGAGCUGUUUUCUAUUAUUCAUACAGGCUACUCAGCUUUUUUUUUUUGUUAUUGUUGAAGAAAACUAGAUUAGAGCAAAAAUUAACUGCUGUAUCAAUACAUCACUCUUAGCAGGUGUAACUCUGUGGUGUCUGGAAGCUAAUAAGCUACCUUUCUGGGUGGCACAUUUUUCGGGAAUCCCUUCGGUCUCUCCUCAAUGCAAAAGAUACACAAAGAGAGCUAGAGUCAAUGCUGGAGUGCAAAAGGAGAAGCUUUUUGUGGUCUCUAAGGGCUUAUUUAUUUUCAUAUACAUUGUCUACAUACUACCAGGCACUCUGAACCAACUUUAAUUGUACUUACUUCCAUUUGUAAUCACGUUUCUAUUUUGUGAUUAUGUGGUUGAUAUCAUGAAGACAAGGAUCACAUGCAUUUUGCUAUGUAUUUGUAUACCCUACGCCUAACAAAAUGACUUUACCAUGACUGUCCUUCAAUAAAUAGAUGACCACUAACA
rnacentral:lncRNA from 13 species